UUGUAUGAAAAAUUUUCUAAUUUCGAUUCAAAUUGGUGUUUGUUUUUCUGUUUAUAUCUUGCUCUUGACUCCUGAGCUUGUUUUUAUCUGUCGUUUGUUAAAGAAUUCUGGAUUAUCAGUUUGUUAAAUAAGCUUGAUUAUUUAUUUACAAUCCGUUUCUUCAAUCUGUUUCUUUUGUUAAAGAAUUCUGGAAAAUCAGUUUGUUAAAUAAGUUCGAUUAUUUAUUUACAAUCCGUUUCUUUUGUUUAGAAUUCUGGAUAAUCAGUUUGUUAAAAAAGUUUGAUUAUUUAUUUACAAUCCGUUUCUUCAAUCCAUUUCUUUUGUUUAGAAUUCUGGAUAAUCAUUUAAAAAUCUCUUCUGCUUUCUUCAAUCCGUUUUUUUGUUUCGAUUCACUUUUAUUCUUUUAUUGAAAACCUUGUUUCGAUUCACUUGAUAAUCAGUUUGUUAAAGAAUAUGCUGUUUAUGUCGUUUGUUAGAUAAAUUUCGAUUCAAUCCAUAUUCGAACAUUAUUUGCUGUUUUUGUGGGCUCAACUCGACGACAUUGUUCUCUCUCGGAUUUAGUUGUUGCUAUUGAUGAGAAUAUAACAGCCAUGGAUACUUGGACCCGCCACCACAAUCUGUUUCAACGUAACAUACCACCACUAGUCCCGUUAUUCCUGCUCAGAAGAAGAGAAAACUGAACUUCAAUCUGAAUGAAGAAUCUAAUGAGGGUGAGACAGAAAACAAGAGUCUCAAGAUGGAUUCAAUCAGUCGCUUACCUGAUGAUAUCCUGCUCCACCUGUUAUCUUUGGUGGGGAUAUGAACAGCUACAAAAACUAGCAUUCUCUCAAAGAAAUGGAGACAUCUUGGACUCACAUCAUGGAUCUAGAUUUCGAUGACCAUGAAACCACUGCUGCUACUGUUUCCAUAAGUUUGACGAAUCUAUUAGAUCCGCAUCCGAAACCUGCAUUUGAUAGUUACAUUAAAUUGGUAAACCAUGUUAUAAGUGCAAAUAAAGCUCCAUAUCUCAAUUCCUUCCGAAUAAAUUUUCCCCUGAAUUCUUUUUUUGCUGCUGUUAUUGAAAACUGGAUCAGAUUUGCUUUGGUUAAAAACGUCCACAAUUUGGAGUUAAACUUUUGGGUUCAGCCAAGAAUCCGGUUUUAUAACAUCUUUCAAACCAACCCAGCUUUGAUUGUAAAUACUACACUUGAUUCUCUUCGCUUGAAAUCAGUUAGAUGGACCUCUGUUUCAAUGGGUUUUAUCUAACUGUCCCAACCUUCAACAUCUUUCGAUUUACCGCUGUAGCUCUUCUGAUAAAAAAAAGCCUAAAACAAAAGCUUGUUGUCUCAUCCUUGAAGCUCAAACAUUUCGAGUUAAUGUUCAGCUAUACACUUUUUCAAGCACUGCAUAACCUCAUUUGAAUUUCAUGUGAAUGGAGUUGAUGUGGAGUUUGCUAGUGUUCCUUCAGUUGUGGAUGCUUCUUUUGGAUGGUUAUAACCUCAUCAUAUGAUCUAUAAUUUGGAUAUCCUAUCUGGUUUCUCUUCUCAACUCAAAAAACUGUCUUUGUAUUAUUGUGAGGUAGACAAUGCAUCUAAUUAGUUCCCGAAUUUUGUUAACGUUGAGCAAUUGGAGAUAGUUAAAAUCCGAGAUGAUGGUCAGUUUUUUCCUUUGAUCUUCUUGAUUCAGGCAUGCCCGUUGCUGCAUACAUUCAAGUUGAAGAGUAUAUGACAUAUAUUGUGAUUUCAACCAUCAACUUAGCUUUUGGAUAAACCCCCAACUCCCAAGAUAUGUUGAUAUUCCUUUAGAUUGCUCCUCGAGGGUUUGCACAACCAAGAAAAAGGGAGAAAACGGGUAUGUCUACUAUUUAAAAGAUUUUAUUUUUUUUAUUCUUGCGAGCAUUUCUUGUAGGAACUUUAUUAAGGAACGAAGGGAGUAAAACAGAAAAUAAAUGACAUUGUCAUUUGUACUUUUCUAUAUUUUUUUUCUGUUUUAUAUUAUUUGUUAGAAGUAUUUGAUUUUUUAUAUGUCUUCGAGUAUAAUUUGAACCUUAAUAUCUAUAUAUAUAUUUUAUAAAAAAUUACAAGUAUUAUAUAUUAAAAUUCAAUAAUCAACAUGAAUCAAGAUCUUACAUUUUUGCUUUUUUAUGUCAAUUUCUCUCUAUGAAAUAUUCUAAUGUAUCUAAUAAUAUGAGAUCGAGGGAUUAUCAUUUUAGUUUGUUUAAUUAAUUUGCUACAUUUUUAUUAGACAUGAGUUUUUUAUUUAUCCACAACUACACGAAGUAGAAUAGAAUUUGCAGUAAAUUUAUUCAGCUAGUCUCUUAACAGAUCGUUUUUUUGAGAAACAUAUCUCAAGCCCAGUCCAUUAAGGAGUACUGCCUACUUAUCGUAUUCUUAAUGCCUAUUUACAUUAUACUUAAUGCUUACUUACCGUAUUCUUAAUGCCUACUUUUAAUAUCGUAAAUGUCUACUUACAUCAUUCUUAAUUCCUGCUUACAAUAUUUUUAAAAAUAUGUAAUGGGCCGACCCAAUUAAAUAUGGUCUCUCAUAAGAAUUUGUGAAAUUUAUUAGCACAAAAAGAGUACCAACAUACAAGUUAAUUUUAGUUGGAUAACUAAAUUUUGAUGAAUAACCAUUAACGAUCUUUUGGUUGUUGCUAAUAAACCAUGAUAAUGAGAAUGAUAUGUAGUAUAUGUUUUUAUGAAAUGUUUUUAUGAAAUGUUCCAUGUCAUGAUGAAGAUAACAUGUUAUUUCCAUGGUAUACAUGCUAAUAAACCUUGGCUCUAACCUUCAAUUUCUCCAUCACCGUUUAUUUCAUGAAAAUAAUCACACCCAUUAUUAAUUGAAUCAAGAAUUGUUAUAAAAUGUGUUUAGUAAUAAGAGAGGAUAGUAGCUUUAGAAAACAAAUAUGCAAUGUAGGAAAUACGUAGUUUAUUUUAAUAACAAAUGGGUUGAAUGUAAAGCAAUAGAUAAUAGGUAUAAUGGACUCAAUCUUAUCUUAAAUGAUGCUUUAAAUACUGUGUAUGCUUUUUUUUUGGAAAAUUAGUGAAUUUUAUUCAAAGAAGUAAAAGGGACAUCAUAUUAAAAUCACAGGCAUAAAAACCUCAUGGGGAUCCAUUGACAAACAUAGGAUGCUCCCUUUAACAGAAUUGAUAUACUAGAGUAGUGAAGUAAGCCACAACAUACACCGAGACCACACCAAAUAGGCCAGUCCCAAAUAAACACCAAGAUUUAAAAGGUCAAAACAUCCUAGGUAAAGCCACCAACCGACCCACCAAAUACACCAAAUACAAGCUAACAAACCAAAAAAUAUCUAACAAGACUAGGCCCAACACUAACAAAAGACCUAAUGAGCCAAACCUACUUGGGCAAAAACAGGAAAUCACUAACAAGCUAUCGCCAUAUCAACCUCACAACCUUCGACACUCGCCAAAUCUUCUCCAUAAAAUACACCUCAAUAAAAAACGUGAAACCCCAAACCACCAAAACAAGCAGAGAGGAGUAAAUCACAAACACCACCUCAACACAAGACAAGCCAAGAGAGGACGAUAAACACUGUCAGACCCUUAAUACGUGUAGGCAGACCUCAACAUCUACUGUCAAAGGGGAAGUGCACAAUGUAGUUCACGCAAACUCAACUUAAAUGUGUCAGGCCGCCCACCUCGAUUCCGUCGAUGAAAAAACCUUCAACAUGUGAGUCACGACAAACACCAUCACCAUUUUUUUAGCACAGUCAAACCACUUCGAACACUCCACGGUUACACCUCUUAAUCCACCCACUCCAACACCCAUCACGACAAAACCACUACAUUUAAAUAGGAUGACACCCAGAUUCACCAAAAUUGCAACCAAAACUCUUGUUGGAAAUAGAGAAAACAUCGAGCCUCUAACAGCCGUUUACUACCAUCACCCACAUUCACCAACACACCACCACCCUAAACAACAGAGAUACCCAUCCUAGCACCGGCACCUACCGUCACUAGUUUAAAAAAAAUCAUAUGUUGCGAAACAUAUGCCGCGGUUUUUAGAAGACGCAACAUAAAAUAAAAUGAAAAACAAGGAAAAAAAAGAAAGGGUAUAUGUUGCG